rnacentral:rRNA from 1 species
CCUACGGGUGGCAGCAGUGAGGAAUAUUGGUCAAUGGACGCAAGUCUGAACCAGCCAUGCCGCGUGCAGGAAGACGGCUCUAUGAGUUGUAAACUGCUUUUGUACGAGGGUAAACGCAGAUACGCGUACCUGUCUGAAAGUAUCGUACGAAUACGGAUCGGCUAACUCCGUGCCAGCAGCCGCGGUAAUACGGAGGAUUCAAGCGUUAUCCGGAUUUAUUGGGUGUAAAGGGUGCGUAGGCGGUCGGAUAAGUUAGAGGUGAAAUCCCGAGGCUCAACUUCGGAAUUGCCUCUGAUACUGUUCGGCUAGAGAGUAGUUGCGGGAGGCGGAAUGUAUGGUGUAGCGGUGAAAUGCUUAGAGAUCAUACAGAACACCGAUUGCGAAGGCAGGUUACCAAGCUACUUCUGACGUUGAGGCACGAAGGCGUGGGGAGCGAACAGGAUUAGAUACCCCAGUAGUC